UCAGCAGCGGGUUGGCGUGUGAGAGGUUUUCUCACUGUAGAACAUCAUAGAAAAUUCUCAGGGAGAUUCUUCAAGCAACCACUAUGUCAACAGACCCAGAUAUUUCCCUUUCUUCAUAUGAUGAAGAUCAGGAAUCCAAAGUUAUUCAAAAAGCUAAAGAGGCACCAUUCGUACCCAUUGGAACGGCAGGUUUUGCAGCAAUUGUUGCAUAUGGGUUAUACAAAUUGAAGAGCAAGGGAAAUACUAAAAUGUCUGUUCAUCUGAUCCACAUGCGUGUGGCAGCCCAGGGCUUUGUUGUAGGAGCAAUGACUGUUGGUAUGGCUAUUCCAUGUAUCAGGAAUACUGGGCAAAACCUAAGCCUUAGAAGAAGAGAUGCUGUCUUGGUCUUGUUGGAGGAGCUUACUUUAGUUAGAUCUGUUUAUUUAAGUUAUGUAUUGUUGAAAAUAAACUAAUUUGUAUGGGUUUAGAUGGUAAAAUGGCAUUUUGAAUAUUGACUUCCUUUCUUGCAGGCUUGAUUUUCCUGGUGUGUCUGCGUUACUAGUGGGUAGUUUACUAACUAGAUUAUUCAAGGAAGUCAAGUUAACUUGAAAGAAACAUGUCACCUAAAUGCACUUGAUGAUGUUGAAAUGUACACCUUCUUAAAUUGUUAAGAUGAACUUAAUUCUAAAGAAGAUAACAGGCCAACCCUGAAGUACUCCCAGUUUGCUGCAGAAUCCCAGAUGUUUUGGAUGUUAUAUAAGAGUCCUAUUUGCCCCAGUUAAUUUAGCUUUUUUCUGCCUGUUUUGUGGACAGGCUGGCCCUUUUAGAACUCUGUCCAAAAAGUUCAUGGAAUAUAACUUGUAAAAUUUCCCACAACUAACAAUAUGUAUAUGUGCAUGUGUUUAAACCAAAUGUAGAAAGCUUACCGUAGAGCUGCAUAAUAGAAGUAUUUAUUAAAGGAUCUCAGUUGUAAACAUGAGAAUAACUUAUGGACUCUAGUUCUUGUGUAACUGCGAAUUAUAUUUUUGCUGCUGUUAUAUUAGAGUAAAUUUUAAAUGUCAUCUUGAAAUGGAAAUAUGUAUUUUAAGCACUCAUAGCAAAGGUAAAUGAACACUUUUUAAAUGUGUGCACUGCUUAUUUUUUCCAUAAGAAUUGUAAACAUUAAACUGAAAAAAUGAC